UAAGAUGUCGGGAAUGUGUUAGACGAAUGAUUUUGUUUUAUGGAGCUUUGAAGAGCGAUGAAUGGCACUAAAGUGGUGCCAAAUGGAUAUCUCAAACACCCAUUGUUGAUGUGUGAUGCUGAUAAUACAGAGACAGCUAGAGUGACAGAGUUUGAUGAAUAAACUUAAAUUAAAAAACAGAAAUAACCACCAUCUCUCUCAGAGGUCAUCUUUCUCAUUAUUGUGGGGAAACCUCAAAGGGCAUCAGGAAAACCUUCAUCAACCUCUUUGUGCCCAGUGGCUUGUGCAACAGUGUUUCAGAAAUUAUCAUUAAAAUGGGGAUAAUGGAUGACUGGCCACACAUAUGGGGCUAUGGACAAGCUUCAGAGCAGGCUGCCAGGUGGUGGUGUUAGUAGUUUAUACUCCGGGUCCCGGCGUGAGCACAUUGAAGGGUCCCAGAGUGACAGUUCAACCACCGCACACCUAUCCUGGGCAGAACCAGUACUAGGUGCCUUCACCUCUGCAAGGAACUGACAGCUUCUGUACAUGCCAGGUGCAGUGGUACAGUGCGAAUGGUCGUAGAAAGGAUUUCAUAACCAAUCACAACAGAGGUGACCUGGUCCGCCCGGGAAUCGAACCCGGGAUGUCCAAUUCAGAGUCCAACGCUCUACCGAUUGAGCUGACCGGGCGGACAUAUUAGCUACAUUAGAUGACAAGCCAUCUAUGCUGGACAUUCUUCACAAUAAAAUGUGAUGUCA